ACGAACCGUGCGAACGUUAUUCGGAAUCACUGGGCUUAAAGCGCGUGUAGGCGGAUCGGCGCAUCGAUUGCUGAAAGCCCCCGGCUCAACCGGGGAACGGGCGUCGAGAUGGCCGGUCUCGAGGGGGGUAGGGGGACCUGGAACUUCCGGUGGAGCGGUGAAAUGCGUUGAGAUCGGAAGGAACGCCCGUGGCGAAAGCGAGGUCCUGGACCCCUUCUGACGCUGAGACGCGAAAGCCAGGGGAGCAAACGGGAUUAGAUACCCCGGUAGUCCUGGCUGUAAACGAUGGGCACUGGGUAGGGGGCUCGCCGAUGGGCUCCCUGCCGCAGGGAAACCGUGAAGUGCCACGCCUGGGGAGUAUGGUCGCAAGGCUG
rnacentral:rRNA from 1 species